rnacentral:lncRNA from 1 species
UGAUGGUUUUCUACCCAGUGGAAACCCGAGGCCUGAGGUAUUUAGAAAAACCCAAACCCAUGUUCCUUCACCAAGUGAUGUGAGCAAGACUGGUUUAUUUACUAAUCAGAAACAGUUGUGAAACUGAACAGUUACUGUGAUGCCUUCUUCCCCUUCCACAUGCACUUGUGCCCACUGCCCAUCAAGGUACUCUUGGGUGCCUUCAUUGGAAGGAGGGAUCGGGAAGGCCUAAAUGGAUGGUUUAAUGGGUAAAUCUGCUGAGUAUUGGCACUUAAAAAUGAGUCGCAAGGUUGAGGACUCUCAAACGGUGAUCCUCUAAUGGGUGACCUUCUCACAAUCAGGACUCUCAGGAAAACAGAAGAUGAUCCUCCUCGGAAUCUGAGCUAGGAUCUGGUUUGCUGCUUCUUUCCCAGGCGUUCAGUGCUAGGCCAGGCAUGUCACUUAGCCUCAUGAGGCAUGUACUCAGUGAAUGUCUGCUCACUGGUAGGAAUAUGAAUGCUUUAUAAAUUCUUGGUUUAAAGUCUAUUUUUAGUUUUGGGGAGGGACCUUCAUACUGUUUUUGACAGUGGCUGUACCAGUUUCCAUGGGAGAAUACAUCCUGAACUAAAUGAGUUUCAUGACUGCUUUUCCGGCCGCCUUUGAUUGUCUGUUCUUUUCAGGAGAAGAGCUAUAGAAAUUAGGGGCUGAGACCGGGAAGAGCUUCCCUGAUCAGGAAAGAUGCAACGACCGGGCCUUCCCUGGGCUGCCUAAAGCCCAAAGAUGGGGCUGGGGCUGGGGCUGGGGCUGGGGCUGGGAAGGGUAGCCCUCUGGAGCAAGGCUGUCAGAGCAGGGGGAGAAAGCAGACUGCUGGAGGGCCUGGGCCCUCCGUGUGAAAGGGGUCUUGGACUGUGUGACUGCAGGCCAGGCCCCUGCCCGCUUCCCAACCCCUAGUCCUGCCUGGGGUGGGCGGAGCACGGGGCCCAUCAUCGGGGGUGACCUGAGAAUCGGCCUUCUGGGAAAGGGGAGGCUGUUACCAUGGAGGCGUUUCCCCAUCUUCCAGGAGUCCCAGGCAUUUGGGGCUUUGCUGCUGGGGAAGGUCUUGGUGUUUCUGCCUCGUGCUGUGUGGUGCCUUGGCCUGUGACAAGUGGCUCAGGAAAGGGGGCUCUUCACCCACCGGUCUUGUGGCCUAGACCAGGACUCUGGGGCCGUCUCAUGGGAGGCCCAUGCUGACGUUGGUUCUUUCUUGUGAAUAGUCAGGCCUGGUUGCGUGGACGGCUCCACUCUGUGAGCCGAAUUGCACAGAGAGCCUGGCGAAGGUGCGUCGCUGUGCGGGGGUGCUCUUCUGGGUCCCUGUCCAGACGCCCCUUUCCACUCCGUGGCUCAGAUACCCUGCCAGGGGCCUGCAGGAGGCACAUAGGGGCGAUGGAGCAUCUGGGCUGUGGGAGAUGUUGGGUCUAGGGCAGAAGCAGAGCGUGGCCUGUGGUCAGGACUCCUUGGUGACAGGAAGGAGCUGAGCAGAAGAGUGUCCACUGUGCAUAGCAGUGGCUGGUGGGGAUCCUGAGGAACCACACCUGCGCGUGUGGGGAUGUGGCUGGAGCUUCAUCAGAGCAUUUCCAUGUCGCGCUCCGCCCUCUCCUGCUGACUCCUCUGCAUGUUAGUUGGAAGCAAGAGGUCACAUGGGUGCUGUCCGUGUGCAGGAGCUGAAGUGGGGACGUGUGGGAAGCCCCCCUGUUCUGCUUGCCGAAGAGGGCCUAUGCCCCCCGGCUGUCGCUGUUCCUUCUGUGUGUAUCUGCUGGGAGGCCUUGAUGCCUGCUGGUCUAGCCCCUGGGCCGUUUUGGUCUUGCUGUCGGGGGAGAUGAGGUUGCAUCAAGGGGCCUUUGUCUGCCCUCCCAAGACAGUGGGGGGUUUGUGUGGCAUGUGUGGGACUGUGUGUGGUCCUGCGCCCUUGGGGGUGGCGGGAGGAUCCAGGAGAUGAGUCUGGGGCAGGGAGGCUGCUCUGGUUUUCUUAUCUCAAGCUUCUGAUUAGCUUCGAUUCCUGAAACACGGAGCCACAGCCUAGGGAGAAAUAAAGUGGUAAUGAGAAUAUAAGGGGGGGCUGCCGGUGGGCAGGACCCAAGGCUUUGGGUGUGCAAGGUGAGGGGGCAUUGUGGCUUCAGGGCUGUUUCUCCUGUCCCCUUUCUUUCUUUCUUUUUUUUUUUUUGUCUUUUGUCUUUUUGUUGUUGUUGUUGUUUUUGCUAUUUCUUGGGCCGCUCCCGCGGCAUAUGGAGGUUCCCAGGCUAGGGGUUGAAUUGGAGCUGUAGCCACCGGCCUACGCCAGAGCCACAGCAACGCGUGAUCCCAGCCGCGUCUGCAACCUACACCACAGCUCACGGCAACGCCGGAUCGUCAACCCACUGAGCAAGGGCAGGGACCGAACCCGCACCCUCAUGGUUCCUAGUCAGAUUCGUUAACCACUGUGCCACGACGGGAACUCCUCCUGUCCCCUUUCUUCAUUCUCCCACACACCUUUGGGUCAGUAUAUUUGGGGGACAGAAGAUAACCAUGGGCACUGAUGAAUAUGCUAUGAAAAAAUGUGGCUCUCUUGUAAAUUUGAGACAUUUCUUACGGAACAGGGUUAUUCUCCAUUUUCCAAGUGAAUCGUGCUCUGUCUGCAGAGGAUGACUUUGCUGUCUCAUCCUUAUUCUGUAUUGCCGCAGGCCUGUGAAGGAUGGCCACUGUGACAGGGGAGCCCUUCAUCCUGCUAGACUUUUGCACAGUCUAUAAUCUGAGGGAGUUCUGAGAAGGAACUGCUGUUGCUUAUGCUGUUUUUCUCCGGACAUAUUUCCCUCCCUUUUCCUGUAGCUUUAUGGACUCUUAGGCGCUGCUUUAUGGUGUCCAUUUCCUCCUGUUCUUUGCGAGGGUCUAGGUGAGUUUCUGAUUUCAGCUCCUCAAGUUGUUCCCCCUUUACCUAGUUCUCACUUAUUGCCAGGAGUUUGGGUGCCUGGUCCUUAAAGGGACAUUCUGGGUUGUCACAUUACCAAAAAGCUUACUUAGCUUCAAGAAAAAGAUUUGCAUACAUUGCAAAGAGGCAGAGAAAGAGCUGAUAAGUUUUCCAAGGUGAAUGUUUUAAGGGAAGAGAGAGGCCGUUUCCCUUUUUUCAACAGGGAUUCUUUAACUUUUCUUAUUUUUUUGCCCUUACAACAUGCUCCCAUGAGACACCUGGUCUCCUGGGUAUUGGCACCCUGCUCCCAGUUGCUGAUUCCGGAGCUCUGCCAAAGUCAGGCCUGUGCAGAGGCUUUCCUCAGGAGGAGCUCGUGCCAAAAGCACCUGAAGGACAAGUGAUCAGUAUGCGUGACUGCUCAUCCUCUGGGCUGCUUUUACCCGUGCCUCUGUCCUCAGGGGGAGUUCUCUGGGAUCUCUAGGAUCAAUUGGAAUGAGGAUUAAAACUACAGACCUUGUUUUGAGAGGGUGUAAACUGAUACCCUGAUGUCACUGGUGUGUUGGCAGGUGGAGCUGGGCUUUCCCUCUCCUAUCCUCCCUUUCUUGAGUCUCCAGAGGAGCACCUGGCAGAGAUGUCAUCUCUGUGUCUUGGGAUACAUGGGACCUGAUAGAAUAUGUGGUAGGAGGCGAGGACUCAGAUCCCACGUUGUGAAUGUUUAGUGUGCAGCCCUGUCAAACAGGGUGGAAAGAGUGUGCAAAAUGUGUGCCCUCCUAUGUAGCUUGAAUGAUCUCUGAUCCCUCUGGAUUUGAAUUUGCCCUCGCAGCCCUUCAGCUGACACAAUAAAGGGAUUACUGAGUGUCGCCAGUCAGGCCCCUUCACAGUCUAGAUUUGGGUUGGCCUUCUCAGCUUCCCUUCCCGCUUCUUACUCAUGUGCAGGCCUACUGUACUGCUUCAUAUCAAGUUUGGAUAAGAACAGCAGUGGGCUCUGUUGAAUGAAUCCUAAGGAGAUGCUCUGAUUUGCUCAGUCUGCCCCAGCAGUCAGACAUAGCAGCCUUCCUGAAUGCUGAAAGGCCUGUCGCAGACUCGACUCUAGUGAUUAUAGGUUGUACAGUCAGGGUACUGAGCUACGGGAUGUAGGAUGUAGUUAAAGCUGGGAACCAAGACGUGCGCGUCUCCUCCUGAGCCCAGAGUUUGAAGUAUUGUGUAUAGAAAAAUGUGCUGAGAGUAAAUCUUAUUCUACCUUCUGUCAAAAAAUAAUAAUAUGAAUUAGCGAGGGUGGAAUGAAACUUAACAGGGGUUGGAUAUGUUUAAGGCAUAGAUUAUGAUGAUGGUUCGUGGAGGUAUACUUAUCUCCAGACUCAUUAAGUUGUAUGUAUUAAGUAUGUGCAGCUUUCUGUAUGUCAGUCAUACCUUCAUAACCUCAAUAAAGUGGUUUAAAAAUAAUAACAAAAAAGACCCUCUCGUGGUUACAGAUGUAUACUCCCCCUCAAGUGUCUUGAGGUUUUAGAACUGAAAGGGAAGAAUGCUUCUACACUGGGAAAUGGGUAAUGCUAUUUACUACUCUGUAUUAUUGUUUUGCCUUGGUUUUUCUAUGUAUGCAUAGCAUUUGCAUUGGCACAUAUAAGGUUAACCUUUAGUCCAUAGGAUUUUCAAUUUUGUAGAAUCACAGCACUUCUGCGAAAGCUGUGAACUUCACCUGGAGGACUUCAGCUCAAGGAGUGGCCUGUGACAUCAGCUAUUUGUCAUUUGACCAGAAAUUGACUUUGGGUCCUGUGCCUUUGGGAAUGGCUUGGACUUUGGGUUGGUUUUGUUUCUUAUAAUAUGUGCUUUUGUGCUUACCUGAGAAAUCUUUUAAAAUAUUUUACACAUGGGGACAUGUCCAGGUGUAAAAUAUUUUACAUAUGGGGACACGUCAAGGUGUAUAUGUACUGUAUCUGUAUCCUAUAGGGUGGAAGGUAGUGUCUCAGGCUGGUUGGUCUCUGCAGCAGGCCUCUUUUCUCUGAGGUCUUCCCACCACCUUCUGUUUUCUGUGUGACUGAGUUCCUUGGCCUUAGCUACUCAGUUUGAUACUUUUCAUCUUGUCCUAGUUGAGCAAACCAUGCUUCUGUUAUAUUUAGAGUUUGGGACUAGAUGCCAAGAAUGGGUGCUAGGCUAGCCUGCAAAGGCUCAUUAAUAACCUUUCACUGCAGAAAAUAUCAUGUAAAAGACAUAUUGUGGGGUUUCCCUGGGUUAUCCUCAUUUCUGUGUCUUUAGAAUGUAUUUGCUGCUUAAGCUUCUUGUAUUUUGUAAAAUACUUGUGUUCUUCCAAUAAAAUU